UAGGGAAUAUUGCAAAAUGGGCGAAAGCCCGAUGCAGCAACGCCGCGUGGGCGAUGAAGGCCUUCGGGUCGUAAAGCCCUUUUUGAGGGGAUGAGGAAGGACAGUACCCUCAGAAUAAGCCUCGGCUAACUACGUGCCAGCAGCCGCGGUAAAACGUAGGAGGCGAGCGUUAUCCGGAUUUACUGGGCAUAAAGCGCGUGCAGGCGGAUUGGAGAGUUGGAUGUGAAAGCUCCCGGCUUAACUGGGAGAGGUCGUUCAAUACUUCCAGUCUUGAGUGCAGUAGAGGGAAGUAGAAUUCCGGGUGUAGUGGUGAAAUGCAUAGAUAUCCGGAGAAACACCAGUGGCGAAAGCGGCUUCCUGGACUGUAACUGACGCUCAGACGCGAAAGCUAGGGUAGCAAACG
rnacentral:rRNA from 1 species